UUUUUUGCGUUCUCAGGCUUUACUCUUGUAUGGACAAAUUUCUGCCUACUCCAGCUAGUGUAACACAGGUAUAGAUCAUCAAUGACAGACCAAAGUAAAGAUUCACCUAAGUGAAGCUUAGUGAACCGAAGAGUUUAUUAGGACCAUUCUUGACUUAAGGCAACUGCAUCAAUGAGAAGUCUUAGCCGAGCAUGGGUCAGGACUCACAAAAACUGCAUCCCUGAAACUAUCCCUUAGUUCACAUCCACAUUCUAUGUACCCCAGUGCUUCCCAGGACCAUGUACAGCUGAGGCAGGGCAGGAGUGGUUGAUGGAAUACCAGAUGAGUGUUUGCCUAACCCCAGGAUGCAAUGUCAACAGCCCUAUCUCUAUUACCAUAGACAGGGUUGUCACAGUGUGGGACUGCUUUUUAUUGCAAUGACUUCAGGCCAUGGUUUUCCAUAGGCCACCACAGCUCCAUGGUGGCCUGUGGUCAUGUCAGGCCACAGGAAAUGGGCCUAUAUAUGAUGGCUCCUGUGAUGGGGGUGGGCUGGCCCAAAUGUAGUCAGCAUGCAAGUGUCCUAGAGGGAGGAGCCAGGGAACCUGUUAGCAAUUUUAAGGCUGUGUGGAGAAAUGUUGGAGUUGCCAGGGCUGGCUAGCACCGGAAGAGUUAAAGCAUUAACAGGCAUAUUACCUGCAGGCUUCCAUGGUGGUCCCCAUUGCAGUGCCUGGCAAUACCCCAUGUUGUUCUGAGUUCCCUGCUCUGGAGCACUCAGCUGGAGCUGGAGUGGAUACUCUGCAACUAUCCCUCUUCAUUGCUCAUCAGCCUCUCUGUAGUGUAGCACAUGACCAAGAAGCCAUUUAUCAACACCUGGGCUCAACUAUUUGGCUACAAAGAAGCCACACAGCAAAGGGGGUUUCCAGUAUGCUGUGGGGGCUGCAGAAGUCAGAUGCCAAGGUACCAUCUUGGGCAGUCUCCCUUUGCCUUUCUGCUCUUUUGGGAAGUUCCUCCUUGCUUUUCCUAUUGCAGUUCCAUUCCUUGUUUGGGGCUUGGCUGAUGUCACUGAUGUCCAUGUCACUGACUUUUCUCAUCCCUGUGACAAAAUACCUGCCAGAAACACCUUGAAGGAGGAAUGAUUGAUUUUGACCUACACUGUUAGAAGUUAUCAUGGUGAAGAAGGCAUGGGGCAGUUGAUGGAAGCAGGAGCAGGGGACUGGGCUCCUCACAGCACCUCUGGCAGACAGGAAGCAGAGAACAAAACUAGACAUGAGGCCUAGACUGUGGCCCUCAAAGGCCUGCCCCAGUGACCUGUCUGCCAGCAUGUCCAAACAUUCCAUAGUCUCCUGGACAGCACCUCCAAUAGGGAGCACUUCACAUUCAAACUAUAAUGAGACACAGAGCACAUGCAAUAUACGAAGUUCCCCUCCAUUCCCCCUUGUCUCUACCUUCAACAGGGAGUUACAGACUUGUGAGCCUGGAGCUGCAUUUGUCCCAGUCUGGCCUCAGAGGAGCAGUCCUGAGAGUUCUGCUGGCUGUUGUGAAGAGUGGACAGGAGGGACAAGUCCUUGCUGACCACCAUUAUCCACACAUAACUACUGACCCUCCUGUGGUUUGACCUUCUGAUCCACUAAUCCUCCCUCUUUGAUGAACUGGUUCCAUUUGUUUCUGUCACUUGUGACCAAUCCUGACUGUCAUAUCCACAUUAAGUCAUAUGUGUGCAGCCACAAAGGCCCUUCCUUUGGUAACCCUAAUGAUGGCAGUGGCAGGGAAGCAUAUCCUUCUGUAGAUCUGCCUCAGUGCGAUGGGUGUCACCUGCCACCGGUCCUUCAAGGCAGGCCCAAGCAGUGUUCAGGGAAUGCAGGCUGAAGAGAACAUCAAAAGAACCAGGGCUAUGACUCCCUCAGCUGCAGCUGACACAAGCUGAUCAGAGGAGGUGGGACAAUGAGAAGCUGUAUGAAUGUCACCCAUUCUGUGUGUUGGUGACAAAGAAUCUGGUUGUAGCUGGGCACCGCAUGUGUCAGAGCACCAGGACAGUCCACAAAAGUGGGAAGAACCACCCCAAUGGCUUGAGUUUUCUAGGUAUAAACCUGUCCCUUGCACAUGGUGUUUGUGAACACACACACACACACACACACACACACACACACACACACACAAACACAUACACAUACACACACACACAUUGAUCAGUCAUUCUGCCCAGGCAGUGUUUGGGGUAAGAGGUCACCACAGUGUUUGGGGUAAGAGGUCACCAAGCGGCCUGGUACCAAGUGGGAAAAGGGUUGGUGCUUGCCCAUGCUCAUGAGGUUUCCAUGAUGACAGAGGUGGAAGGGUCAUGGCCUUGGGAAUUGGGAGCAGAUGCUCGGCUCUACUCCAUACUUCCUGGAGUCCUCUGGACCUAGUCUUCUAGAACUGUCUUGACCUGUUGACUCAGCCUGGUGGGUUCCCUGCCUGAUGGGUCUGGGAGGUCUUGACGUCUGGCAUGGUUCAGAUCUCACCUUUUGAAUGCUGGAUUCCCAGAUCUCCUGCUAUUGCAAAGCCUUUAGGAGUUGGGGCCUGGCUAGCAGACCCGAGUCUCCAAGAGCAGAUAAUGAAGGGUAUUUUUUCCCUGGUUCUGGCUGUGCUGUCUGUUUCCUGAUCUGCUGAGAAGUGGAGAGUCUCCUCCACAUGCUGCCAGGACCUCCAUUAUUCCUUCCCUCCCCUGAAGCGGUACCCAAACCAGCCCUUCUUCCCUUCAGUUGCUUCUGCAGUCACAGCUCCUCAAAAGAAAUGAAUGGUUUUCAUUCUCUGCACUUGGGUCCCCAGACCUGGCUUCUAACAAGGAAACAGGCUGAGUCCAUCUGCUAAGACCCCCUAGCCUGUGAGAGACUUUGGGACUGUCUUAUUGUCUAGCCCAAGGCAGGGACAGAUGAAUGGUCCACAUGUACAUUCAUGUAAACCAGGCUUGCUGCUCAGCCUCUUCCUGAGCUCCACAUCUCGUAUGGAGGAAGUUCCUAAUGCUAUCCCACCACAGACCAUCUUGAUGCCAAGUAUAGAUGACAGAACUGUAAACUUAUAUUGGAUGAGGGUUUCAAAAGGGAAUGAUCAUUCAGAAAUGACCCAAUCACUUAUUUGGGGUUUUGACAAUCAAAAAUGAAUUUCUUCAGACCAGAAAUGGAUCUUUACAUUUCCUCUCUCUCGCUGCUUCUGUGGGGGCUGUUGCUCCCAAAUCUGCUUGCAUCAUGGCUCAGUGAUGUUUAGAAUCCUGAGUAGUUUUCUGGAGACAGAUGGCAUUGAUUUCACAUUUGUUCCACUGUGCCUGCCUCUCACAAUGUAUUAGCAUCAGCUCCUGACAUGCAACUACAGAAGACAUCAGAAACGAUUUGAUCUGUCACUUAAAAAAAACAUUUGUGCUGGACCUAGUGGGCCAGGCCUGUAAUCCCAGCUACUUUGGAAGCUGAAGCAGGAGGAUCAUAAGUUUAAGGGCUACUGAGUUUAAAAUAAGCCUGGGCAAUGCAGUGAGACCCUAUGUCAAAAUGAUAGUCAAUGAGUGUUAGGGGUCUUGCCCUACACACACAGCCCUGGGUUCCACGCCAGUAUGACAGGUGCAUCCUCUGCAUGAAGAGAGUUGGGGAAAAUGGACCCUUCGUGGACUGUAGAGGGCCCAUCUCUGCUCCUUUCUGCACGUGAUCUUGUCGCUGGUAUUUCUGACAAUUGCUUUUAGUAGCUCAGGAUGGGGGGAAAUACUGUGCGGCUAUUAUGUUUCAGUGUGCCAUGAAGAGCAUGCUGGGCUGGAGGUUCACAGGGUAAUUGCUGCAGGUCCCUGUGACUUGGGAAUGCCAUUGUUCCUCUUUGAGCCUCAGUUUCUCCAUUGGUAAAAAGAAGAGCCAUCUCUCUUCCUCACUUUUUCUCAUGAUCCAGGAGAGGGUAAAAGAGUAUCUGGUACUCAGAUGCACAUGAAUCAGGCUUUUCUUUUGGUAAUAGUAGGCAUUAGAAUCUCAUAUAUGCAAGCAUGUACUCUACCAAUGAGCCACACACUCCACCUUUCCCCCCCUCCCAGUGUUGGAAAUUGAUCCCAGGGCUUUGUGUAGGCAAAGCAGAGGCUCUGCUGCUGAGCUAUACCUCUGGCUCAGAGUCUCACAAUAAGUCUCAGGUUGGCUUUGAAGUUGCUUUCCUCAUGUUUUAGCCUCCCUCCUGGUACCUUACCACACCUAGCUCUUGUAACUUCUCUAAAGUCAGCCAGAACAGGAAGUUGCUUGGAGCCAUGUGACCUUGAACACCUGAGUAGUCAAGGUACAGAAAUCAAGGUGGUCCAUGGCUUGUGAAAGGUCUUUCAAGACAUUCUGGUAUGAUAUACAGAGUCUCAGAGUUGACAGCAGGGUAGGAAGGAACUUACUUGCAUAUGGCACCCCCAACACUGCAAGCCCUGAGUUAUCACACCCAAGUCUGUCCAAAACAAUAGGGUCCAGGUUCCCAUAGAAUGAUUCAUGACAUCAUGCUGCACAGGGACAACUGGGAAUACCCACUGCAGAGACGGACAGAUGGGGGCCAGGCUGAAUCCAGUCACUGUGUGUACUCAGGAGAGGGGGUGCUCCCUCCCUCAUGCUCCUCAUCUGGGUGGCCUCUCGAUGCUCCUUCUGUCAGUUCUGCUCAGGGAAAUCUGAAUAUGCCAUGCCAGGCAGACAUUGGAGGAAAUCAAUCCAGACAGCAGACACUUAGUCCUGCUUAGAAGGUCAUGCAGUUCUGGCCGGCAAGCUUGCCUGAGAUGCGGGAUGCUGCUGACAUAACAGCCUCUACCAGGAUGCCAUCUCCUUUCCCUCACCUAAAGACUGGUUUGAAAUAAUGUGCACCAUCAGAGUGGGAAUCCCACUGUCCUAAACUCCCCAGAGUUCCAGAGCCAAGACCCAUGCAAGGCACACAGCAGGGGCUUCAUCCAUCUACCCAGGCAUCUGCUAUUUUGGUACCCAGUACUGGGCCUGCUGGGCCACAUAGAGCCCAUCUCCGUGAGCGUGCAGGAGAUGCUGAGAAUAGACUAAUAACUCCAACAGCGUUUUGCCAGGUUUCAAGUAAGUCUUACACUCUUAGUCAUCUCACUUCCUGGGGUCCUCGAGACCUUCUAGUGCCUUCUAGUCUGCAUGCAUCUUCACCAAGGAUAGCCUUCUGAAUGAGCUCCUAUCUCCACAUAGAACCAAUUCCAUUAAUUGAUGUUUGAACAAAACACCUGUUUUCCGUUAAAAAUAUCCUACCAGAAAAUUAGAGGUAAGUCAAAGUUUUUUUCUUUUCAAGUCCCAGAAGUUGUUUUGGUCUCCAAGGAAGGCAGGAACGGCUUCUCCAAAAGACAAGACUGCAGAUGAGCACAGGGGAAUUGGCACACCUUGUCAUGGGGCUGUCCUAUAUGUCAGCUUAGGGGCCUCCCCUGCAUGCUAACUACUGCACCCAACUGUCACUUGUUGGGAUGGGGAUGUGCAAUUAGCAAAAUAAAACUCCAGGAUGAAAAUAGUCCAAAACCCCAACUGGAAGGCCAUGGAGGCUGCUUUAACUGGAAUGAUGCAGUUGGUAGAGAACUAAAACAUACUCAUAUCAAGCAAUAGGGCAGUCAACUCAGUGACCAAAAGGCUAAGGAUUCAGCUACAGCUACGGCAUAGUGUAGGAGUUCUACCCCUGGAGAGCUUUCUGUAUGCCGUUUCUCUGGGCUUAAUCCCGCUUCCCUCAUCCUCUCCCUGAAGUAGGCUCUACUGUAUGGAUGCCAUUUUUGUCCACAGGCUGUUAUCCAAUCGCAUUGGUUCACACAGAUGGAGUGUCUGCUUCACCAGCAUUUGUCAGAAAACAUCUUAGGUAUGAAUGUCAUCAACCAAAUGAAGUCAUGUGUCUGUACCUGAACCUCUUGUAGUAGGGUGGCUUGAAUGAGGAAUGUCCCCCCAUAGACAUUUAGUCUCCACUUGGUGGUACUAUUUGGAGAGGUUAUGGAGCCAUAAAUAUGUAAGUACCAGGAAUACAAACUCUAGUCCCUACACUUGCACAGCAAACCCUUUACACACUGAGACUCUCCCCAGCCCCAAGCACUCAUUGUUCUUAAAAGAGGCUAUAGAUUAAGAGAAGGGAUGAAAAGGAGUUUAAAUCCACCAUGUACUAGGAGCCAUUUGACUGUAAUUCAUUUCCAGGGUGAAGUUUCAGCAUGCAGGGGAUGCUGCAUGGCAGGCAAUCGGUUCUUGAUGAAGGAUCCUCACCAGGUUUUAUUUACUAACCCAAGAUUGGCUCAAAGUGGGAUCAAAAGGUGGGAAAGUUUGGGAAACACAGGAAGGGAAAAGAGCCUCUCAUCCCUGCUGGCUGACAGGCAGGAACUUCUAGCCUGUCCUCGUGGCACAGGCCUGUUGUCCCAGGUAGAGGCUGAGGUAAGAGGUAAAGCCCAGCUUGGGCUACUUAACCAGACCCUGUCUCAGAAAUGAAAAAUAAAAUGAUAAAGAGAGCAGGGGACACAGCUUAGUCGUGGUGCCUUUGUCUAGCUUGUGCUGGGCCCUAGGUUCAAGCCCCAGGACAGAAAAUACAAAACAAAAAAGAAUUUCAGCAAAACUAACAAAAGCAGCAAAAAUCACUGUGAAGAUUUUUUUAAAUUCCUUUUGUGAGUCACUUCAAGAAAAAAUGUUAAAAUAGCAACGAGCCGUAUUUAAGGUCAAAACACAGGAUAGCCCUUGAGUUUGACCUUCCUCCCUUUUCAUCUAUAAACUUGUCAUUUUCUGAGAAACUAAUCAACAAAAUUAUAAACCAAGACUAUAGGCAAAACUUGCCUUGACCUCCUUCUGACCUAUGGAUAGUAAGAAUUCCUUUGACCCUGGGUUUUUUUUAAUAUUUACUUUUUAUUUUUUAUUUAUGUGAGCAUGAGUGUAAUGCCAUAUAUAUGCAGGUACUCACAGAGGUCAGAAGAGGGAAUGAUAUCCCUAGGGAUUGGAGUCACAGACGGUUGUGAGACCGCUGACAUGGAUGCUGGGAACCGAACUUGGGUCCUCUGCAGGAGCCUCAAGUACUCUUAAUCAUCAGGAAACACCUGAAUGAGUUCUCAGGAGAGCAUCUCCAUGCUGCCAAGGGGAUCAUGAAGACUGGUCACAUUCUUGAGAAGCUGACUUUCCGCAAAGCCUCCCAAAGGACCUAAAUGUAGGACACUUGGAGUAAGAAAAUAUGCCUCCUCAGUUAUGCCUGUAAACAUACGGAACACUUUACAAAGUUUUGGAAAGCACACAGAACAGCUCUAUCAGAGUUGACAGCUCCAGGUGAUUGUUGCCACCCUGAUUUGGGGUGUAAAAUGUCACACUUGAGCAAAACUCAAGCAUUUCAGUUCCUUCAAUAGAUGGUAUGUGGAAAGCCCCCAAAUACUGAGUGUCCCUCUGGCUUUGAAAGAAUAAGACAGCAGGUUAUCUGCAUGUUUCUGGUGUGACUGGUUCACAGAACUUGCCACCGUGCUGAUGCCACCAGCAAGAUUUCCAUGCAACAAACAUGAAUAGCCGACCAUCAUUUCCCUUCUGAGGGUUUGUGAACACUGAUUGACAUUCCAGUGUGGGUUACCUUUCAGCUUCUACAUUCCCCAUCAAAUAUAUGGUCUUCUGAGGCCUGGGGCAAGCCCGCUGAGGAGUUAAGGAUCUUCACAUUUGCUUUUAUUUCUAGGCUAAUAUGGUAUCAGAAAGAGGUCUCUGCAUCAUUGGCUCCACAGGGGGGCUGGUACUGCCCCUCACCCACUCCUCAGGAAACUCUUUCACAGUGCCAUCUAGUUCUAAACGAUUAUGUAAUUACAUUUGUGAAUGUAAUCCUGCAGGGCAUUAUUCUAAUUAUAGCCUACAAUCCCUUUCAGCUACACUCAGAGAAAUAAUUUGUGCAAUGCAAUGGGACUCCUCCAGCUGCUGCAGUGUCUAGAACCUGGGCACACAGUCAGCUCUGCCUCCUGGAAUCAGAGGUCUUCGUUCUUUCUCAGGAAGGGAUCCAAGCAUCAAGUCCCAGAGCCAUUUCUCAGGGACAGUCCCCAAACACAACAGAAUCCUUUGUUCCUAAAACCUUUAUUUAGCAACAGAUUGCUCAUUCUGCACCCAGUAACAGGAAUUUUGAGUGAUUUUGUGGUAUGUAAAUUACACCUUAAUAAAGCUGUUUAAAAACAGAAUAGUUACUAAGUUAACUAUAAUCAAAGACAGAAAUGGAGGUGUCUUACAGGUGGGUGGCUGUUGUGGGCCAAGGGAGGGGAUGUGAAAUAACAGUGACCCAGAGGGCCCUGAAGUUGAUGGUGAAUGAAUCUUAGACUUAAUUAACAGGUAUGUUCAAUUUAAGAGAUGAUGGAAUUUUAGCUGUUUCCUUUGCUUUCUCCAUAUAUUUUCUCCUUCCCUCCCUCCAUCUUUCAUCCCCCUUCUUCCUUUUCCUCCUCUCCUACUUCCUCAGCAUCUGUUAUUAUUAUUUUGGACUUACUUCUUGAUGUGUGUGGAAACUUUCUAGUCUUUUUCAAGCUUCAGUUCCUAGAGAUCAUUCUUUGGUGGGCAGCAUUAGAGGCCUGACGUAACAUUGGGCUUCUGUGAGCCUCACCUUCCGGCACUGAGCAUUCAGAGUUUAUGGGCUCCCCUAAAAUCAUGAGAGGGAAAUCUCAUCUUCAGUGAUGCAGCCCAUGGUCCUGGAUGCGAUACAGUAGCUUGUCCCGAGUUCCCAAGGGCAAGACCACCAAGUCUCAGGUCAGCCCUUAGGUGGGAUGCACAGGAAUGGCUGAGCCCUUUACCAGCUGAAGUCUCACUAUGCUGUGUCCCCAAAGUUCCAAAUCUGAGCUUUCUGGUCAGAUUAUUUGGUCUUGGUCACCAUCUUCUGCCUAUUGGCAUUUUUGUAAAAUAAAAUUAAUAUUUAAUUAUUAAUUAUUUAUUAGGCUUCCCAGAGAGGCAGAACCAGUAGAAUAAUUAUGUGAUGAUACCAAAGGGAAAUUGGCUGAUGUAAUCAUGGAUGCUAAGCAGACUGUCUGAAAGCUUGAUACCCUGGAGUAUAGGUUGCAUGGUCCAGUCUGAGGCCAAGGCCUCACAACCAGGGAAGCCGGGAGUGUAACUCUCAUUCUGAGGCUGCAGGUUGAGAACCCCCCGGGAAGUGUACAUUAAAGAGUCCAAAGGCUGGAAAGCUUGCAGUUCUGAAGUCAAGGACAGAAGUGUUCCAGUGUCAGGAAAGACUUCAGUCCCCUUCCUCUGUUUUGAAUUCAAGUUUUCUACCGUUGGAUUGUGCCUGCCCACACUGAAGGCACACAUAUCCUCACAGCGACUCAGCCACUCAGAUGUGGAUCUCUUACAGUCCAAAUUGUACUUUAUGAGUUUUAUGAAUCCACUUAGGGUGGCAGCCAAAGUCAACCACUAGUUACUACUGUAAAUUUGUCUUUGUGUUAUGCUUGUUUCUCCUAGUCAGAUCAUUGAUUUGUGUCUUAACAAGCCAUGGAUGUUAUUUUUUGAAAAGCUUAGUUAAAAAUGGAGAGGGUAUGUGUGUGGGGGGGAGGUGAUACAUACAUACAUACAUACAUACAUACAUACAUAUUUGUAUAUACUAUCUUGGUUUCCUGUUAGUGGGUUGUGGGCGCCAUGGGCCCUGACCCCCGACUGUGAGUGGCUGCAGCCUCGCUUGCUGACCAGGUGUCCU